AUUCCUUCUCCUGCCUCAGUAUCUCUACAAAAGCUGUCUGGGCACUCGGAUUUUGGAUGCUGGUUCAGAACAGUUAUCCCACCUCUCUCUCCUGGAGAAUGGGGCACCAAUUAUCAUAUAUGCCAUCCAGAACCACUUGAAUGCUGUUAGACUUGGCAUGGGGCAUGGCUCACAGACUUGUCUGAGGCACAACAAUGUGAAAGUCUACCUUUACUUGCAAGAGUAUCAGCACCGGGCGUCUUCAUAUUUAAUUUAUGGCGUUAUGUAAGCUGCUGUGUGAACUUUACCAUGGUAGUUUGGAUCUGGAAUUGUGAAGGAGACAAAUGGACCUGAUUCAGAGGGCUCAAUCUACACAGCUUCGUGCAGGAGAGUGAGAGAGCAGGAGCAACAAUUUUUGCAAUGCUCGUGGCAUUUCCCUUUUAUAUAAAACCAAUUUUAACUGCAUAAAAAUCUACCACAUUGCAUUGGGAAACUGCAGUGGGUGUGCAUUAAACUGUUAUGAAGAACUGCAGUUAAGAUAGAAUAAAGCUGAAACAAAUCUGCA
ensembl:lncRNA